AAUAACCAAAUAUGAUACUCGUGCUAAGGGUCAAGUUGGUAAUUUUUCUUANUCGGAGCCUAGGUAUCAUAUAUACCCCCAAAAUAAAGAGCCUUGAAUACUAGAAGAAAAGCACCUAGACCUAACAAGAUUAAGUGAAUACCUAAAAUUGUGGUCAUUUUAUUUCGAUCUUUCUA
rnacentral:antisense_RNA from 1 species